ensembl:ncRNA ZC123.10 ncRNA
CUAAGCAUAAGGCUAAGCCUAAGCCUAAGCCUGAGCCUAAGCUUUAGUCUAAGCGUAAGCCUAGGCCUAACCCUAACCCUAAGCUUAAGCCUAAGCCUAACCCUAAGCCUAACCCUAAGCCUGAGCCUAAGCCUAAGCCUAAGCCUAAAG